rnacentral:rRNA from 1 species
UACGUAGGAAGCAAGCGUUGUCCGGAUUUAUUGGGCGUAAAGCGCGCGCAGGCGGCGUGCCAAGUUGGUUGUGAAAUUCCUCGGCUUAACCGAGGCGGGUCAACCAAAACUGGUAGGCUAGAGUGCAGCAGAGGAAAGCGGAAUUCCCGGUGUAGUGGUGAAAUGCGUAGAUAUCGGGAGGAACACCAGAGGCGAAAGCGGCUUUCUGGGCUGUAACUGACGCUGAGGCGCGAAGGCUAGGGGAG